rnacentral:rRNA from 1 species
GACGAACGCUGGCGGCGUGCUUAACACAUGCAAGUCGAACGGAAAGGCCCUGCUUUUGUGGGGUGCUCGAGUGGCGAACGGGUGAGUAACACGUGAGUAACCUGCCCUUGACUUUGGGAUAACUUCAGGAAACUGGGGCUAAUACCGGAUAGGAGCUCCUGCUGCAUGGUGGGGGUUGGAAAGUUUCGGCGGUUGGGGAUGGACUCGCGGCUUAUCAGCUUGUUGGUGGGGUAGUGGCUUACCAAGGCUUUGACGGGUAGCCGGCCUGAGAGGGUGACCGGCCACAUUGGGACUGAGAUACGGCCCAGACUCCUACUGGAGACAGCAGUGGGGAAUAUUGCACAAUGGGCGGAAGCCUGAUGCAGCAACGCCGCGUGCGGGAUGACGGCCUUCGGGUUGUAAACCGCUUUCGCCUGUGACGAAGCGUGAGUGACGGUAAUGGGUAAAGAAGCACCGGCUAACUACGUG